UACGUAGGGGGCAAGCGUUGUCCGGAUUUACUGGGCGUAAAGAGCGUGUAGGCGGCCAAGCAGGUCCGUUGUGAAAACUGGAGGCUUAACCUCCAGACGUCGACGGAAACCGCGUGGCUAGAGUCCGGAAGAGGAAAGUGGAAUUCCUGGUGUAGCGGUGAAAUGCGCAGAUAUCAGGAAGAACACCCGUGGCUAAGGCGGUUCUCUAGUACGGUACUGACGCUGAGACGCGAAAGCGUGGGGAGCGAACAGG
rnacentral:rRNA from 1 species